GGUGAGUAAAGCCAUUUAAAUACAUAAAAUGCCACAUUUUUGUUGAAAAUGCUUGUUACAAGAAAAACAACUUUGAUUUCAGUAAACAAACUACCUAGUGUCAAUGAAAAUGACUGUGAAUCAACUCUGUCAGCUGUUAGCAUGGCAAAGUUCAGUUUUGUGUAGUUCACCAUUUCAUUUUGUCAUUUGAAACCCCUGUUUUUCUUACAUAGACCAUAUUGGUUUAAAGCAAGCAAACACAAUGGCCCUCAAACAAUUCCAGUAAACCAAGUGGCAAUUAGCUACCACUCCUGGGAAAUAUUUUAGCACAUGUUCCUGGCACUUGAAAAAUCUACACCUUCAGAGCAAAGGCAGGAAAAUUUGGCCAAGCAGCUAACCCGAUGGAAAUUCUCAAGAACGAAAACAAAUGAGACCUCAGUAGGAAAGAAAUAACCAAUAGAUGUAUAACAUCGCUGUAUCUUAGAACAUAGAAGGUAAAAGACACAUGUACCUCAUACAAAAAAAUGUUAUUUUCCUUCAAACAAAUUUAACAGAGGUUAGUUAAAAACCCAGUGUGUGUGUGUGUGUGUUUCUAUGUAUGUGUAUUUAAAAAUUACAGAUGUAAGAGUUAGAAAAUUUAGUUUUAUAGAUGAUCUGUAAAAGAGCAGAAUCAUGAAAUUUGUUAUUAGUAUUUUGGCUAAAGUACUCAUGAAAUCUACAGGUACUUGAAUAGACAUUGGGCUACCAAGCAACAGUGAACGGUGGAUCCCAUGCUGUUAAAGAAUUUAGAAAAUAUUAAAAUUAAAGAUUAGAAUUAACUGUGAAGCCGGAUGGAGGUGGCACACACUUUUAAUCCCAGCCCUGGGGAGGUAGAGACAGAGGCAGGUAGACCUCAUGAGUUCGAGGCCAGCCUGGUCUACAGAGUGAGUUCCAGGAUAGAGAAGGCUAUAGAGAAAAACUCUUGUCUUGAAAAAAAAAACAACAACAACAACAAAAAGAGUGAGUUAUAAAAAAAUUGGCAUUUGUUGAAUUAGCAUCAGCUUGUAACAUUGAAUUAAAUAAAAUCAAGUACAACAAAAACACAGUUCCAUGUGUCUACCCUUUAAAAUGAGUAUGUGUCAAAGAAUUGUUAAAAAGUUAGACCGUUAUUUAUGCUCAUAGCUGUGACCCAGGCCUAUGCUUUAGAUUUCUUUAAGCAAUCAGAGACACUGUGAUUUACAUGGUCCAACCCUCCUGCCCAAACUUGAAGAUAUGUCUGUAUUCUUUUGAGAUGCUGUGAUUCAUGCAGAAAUUGAGAGUUUACUAAGGUAACUUAUAUAUAAAUGGCAUAACUUCAUUCUUCUUUAUGGAUGAAUAGAACUCCUUUCUGUAUAUAUACUACCCUUCAGGAAAGCUGAGACUUCUCUACAUGACAUAAUAUUUACACUCAAUUUUCACACAAAUUCUUAAGCUUCGCCAUCAUCAUUUGCUCCUACUGAUGCUAGAGACACUUACUCCAUAAAAUAUUGAUUGUCUUGAAAACAGAAGUCUCCUUCACCUCUGUUGCUGUUUUUGAAAAAAUGUCAGUGUAUUUUAGCAUUAGCCUUUUGAGCAUUGAUGAUAUUUAAUCAUCCCUAAUCCAUUUUGGUCUGCCAGGAAGUGAUAAUCGCUGUAUCAUUUGGAGGUGAAGGCAUUGUCUCCCCAUGGUUUUAUGAUGCCUAUUUUAAUUAUGUAUUAUCUCCUUUUUAAAGAAAUAUAUUUUAAAGAUGCUGAUUUCUUUGAUAUAGCACCCAUAUUGAUUUAAUUAUUCUUUUGUAUUAUUAUUGUGUUAUAAUUUAAUGUAAGUAUAUUUCAUUGCAAAUUCAAAUCUCCUGAUCGAUUUUUCUUUUAAAUUUAUGUUAAUAUUGUUUGGUAUAUUUAAACCAUUAAUAUAGUAUAUAGCAAUCUGACUUUGAUCUUUGUAAUUUUUAUAGCUUUAUUUUGAAAAAAAUUAAAAAUUACAUGUUAGUUUUCUGUUAAUAUACUAGUCACAUUCAAGAAAUUUAAACAUAUAUUCAACAAAAUUAAAAACAUUUAUCUUCAUUAAUGUUGACAUUAGUGAUAGUUACCUAAAAUUCAGAUUUUCAUCCUCAGGAAAUGUAAUGUUUUAUAAAAGUCUUCCCUCGUUUCUUUUUCAAACUUUUUAAUUUUGUAUUAUUAUAUACAUAUUUAACUAGUUAGAUAUAAUGGGUUUCAUCAUGACAUUUUUGUAUAUGUGGUUAAUGACAAUGGUCCUCAUUCUAUUAGUCUAUUUUCUUUCUGCAACUAUUUCCCCUGUUUUCUCUCCCUCUGUCUUUCCCUCUGUUUCUCUCUCUCUCCCUCCCUCCCUCUCCUCCUCCUCCUUCCUUUCUCUCUGUCUCUGUCUUUCCCUCUUAGUUAUACACGGAUUUUCAUUUUGGAUGAUAAUGGAGGAUAGAUGAGGAUACUUAUUUUCAGAAGUAUGAGCACAACUUAAGUAAACUGAAGUAAACAUCCAUCUCACUAAAAGCCAUUAAGUGCCUAUAGAUACUUGAGUGGAGGACUGGAGGUUGGUCCUUAGGACCCCUCUUCCAUGGGUGAUAGAAUGUGGAAGAGCACAGUCUUAUGAAGGUUGUGCUGACAAUCACAGUGGCUGAGAAGUCAAGAAUGUGAUAGCCACGCUGUGCCUGGCUGAAGUUUCUCUAAGUCCCCUACCCUCUCCACAUCCCCACUGUGGUAUUACUUGAGCCUACAUCUAUCCCUUUUGAUGUUGGAAGUUUUGUCUUCAUCUUCUCUGAACAUGAAAUUUCUAUUUUUUUCCUCUGUUGUUAAUAUAAUUUUCUGCAGUGUUAUUUCUGCCCUUUUUGGCCCUUGAAAAGAUCCAACAUCUAGUAAUAGCUGGAUUUGGUUUGGUUUCUGUAUUCUUUCAACUCUGCCCUCAUUUCAUUAGUUUCUGACCUUCAGAAAUCAGCGUUCCUAUUUUGACCAUGUAAACACCCACGUGGUGUUUUACUGAGAAGUCAGCCUAAGUAGAUUCUUCGAGAUCCCGUUUCCUCCAAUAAAUCUUUCUUUCUUCAAGAAAUUCUUUAAGUAAUUGUUAUUUGAAAAGUGUAAAAUCCCUUUUCAUAGUAUCUAGCUUGUUAUAGAAUACUUCUUACAGGUUUAACAUGGUUGCUUUUAUUUUAAAAUUUCUCUUCCAUAUUAAAGCUGAAGGAAGAAUUUCCAUGUUAAUAUCUUUUCGUUUUCUAUAUUCCACUCGAAAGCAAACAGUUUUAGCUCACAAACCAAUGUUUAACGAGUUUUAAGCAGUUUUUUACUUUAAUGUGGGCAUGAAUUAAAUCUGCAAUUCUCUUGAAGAAAGAACUACUUCUUUUAAAUCUCCAGUCAUUUUGUUUUUAUUUUUACACAUCAAGAAUGGGUGGUGGUAAAGCUUUCUGUAACAAGGAACCUGUUAUAUCCAUAAGCCAUGGAUGAGGGAGCCGAGGUAGAACAGGGCAGCAAGUAGCUGGGGUCCUUUGGCUCUACCCAGAUAGGAAUCCUGGUAGACUAGAGAAGCUCUUCCAGGGCUGACACUUAGCAGCUUUUACAAUCCACAGCUGUUAACAGUAGUGAGUCCCUGCAGAAAACAACCGCAAGCUGUUGCUAACAGUGCCCUCUAGAGUUACACCUCUCAGACAAGCCUCCAGUACUGGAGCCCUUAGCCUUACAGCGACUGGUGUAGAACUCUCUGGGUGCAGACAAUCUGUGGCCCACUACUGCUGCUCUUGCCUCUGCCGCUGCUGGCGCCACCACCUCUGCUCUUCAUGUUACAAAAUCAGCCUACUCUGCCAAUAAUGAAGAAACCAAAACCUGGCAAGAAAAUACAAUUUGAGGAAAACGUUUGGGGGUGGGAGCGUAGUGUUUCAAUACUAGCAUAGAGGAAUGGUACAGAAGGUUGUCGUUUGGUCAGCUCUGGCCAGUUUAUAUAGCUAAGGAUGGAGUGUUUAUAUACACCGUGUUUCAUAUACACGAUGUACUGUGGUCAUUCCCAUGGUGGUGAUGUCUCUCAUAUACCAGUCACCACAGCCUAUUUGCUAAGCCGUCACGGACAGUCUGCUCUCCAUCCUGGCUGGGGAUGUUUCCAAGGGCAUCUUAAUUGGAAAGAGACUCAGAAAGCAAGAAGUCCAGUAUGGGCUGUUUGAAAGAAGCACAGCUGGGGUUUGGGGGUUGUGCCUUUAGGAGCGAUGCUUUGGCAGCAAACAGCUGUGGUUGUCAUGUGGCUGCCUUCAGUCAGCUAUGACUGUUGAAAUGGCUAUGUUGGCAGGACAGCAGUCUGGCUUGACUCAUAUUCCUUAGGUCAAGGCUGCUAGGGGAUCAGAGAAAGGUCUGACAAAGGCCUAGAAAAAAAUAGUCAGUCCCAUAGAUUAAUAACAUUGGUGCUUAUAGGUACUGAUGAACAUUACAAUUAAAUCAUACUUAACCUUUUUUUGAAUGUGUUUAACUCUGGGGGUAGCCCCACUCAUCUGUCUCACAGAUCUCAAGGCUCAUGUGAUUGAGAAGGAGGUGGUUGCAGGACCCCUCUUAACAUUCAUGCCCUCUCCUGAUGUCUUGGGCUAGGGACAUGUACUACUUGCCUAGGCUCCAAUGGCCUAUGGCAUGUCAAGCCACAGUUACCAUCAAUAGUCAAGACGAUUGCCCAUCUAUUUCCACAAUCUUGAGUCCUGGUAUAAUGUGAUUAUUUUUCCCAUGUUUUCAUGAAUGUUUCAGAAGAAAAGUAUUAAAUAUGUAUUUUUCAGCAAGUCAGUUCUGAAUUUUACUUUUAAUAGCUUGUGUUUUUUCUAAAUUUAUAUUUAGCCAUAUAAAGUGGAAUGUUUUUGUACUUUUUUGCAUUGUGAUUUUAUACUUGACAAUGCAAAGAUAACAGUAUCUGUGUAGAUGGUGCAUAUUGUACAUUCUGAAGCACUUUGUCCAGGAUUUUCACAAAGUGUCAUUUCCUUAUUCUUGAGGGGCUUCUUAGUAGAUUGUUUUAAGCUAAAGAUUAAGAAAAACAAAUUAUUCACAUCAUUCUGCUUCCUAAUCACAUGCUUUACUGCAGCAUUAAGGGCAGUACCCAGAUUCUGGGCACGUGGGACAAGCCACUGUGCUACGGAGCUACAUCUCCAGCGCUUUAAUCAAUCUAUCUGUGGUUGCAGAUCCUGUGUUAUUUUCAAAUACACCUACUUAAAAUAACACUGCACUGGUACUCUUCUAUCUGUUAUUUGUGUCCAAAACCAAAAGUAAUUAGGCUGAAAUACCUGAAAUAAUGUAUAAUCUUUAUUCAGUCAGAAUCCACUUAAUUGUGGUCAUUAUUUAGCUAUUCAUUUCAGGGUUUUAAAGCAAAAUGCCCAUGUAUCCUCCAUUACUUUUGUGAGUUAGGUUAGGUCACUUUACCUCAUUAAAUACACUGUGGCUUCAACAUAAAUAAAUUAUGCCUCAUACAGCCUUCGAGCCCAGAUAAAAAGUAGCAAAUGUAUGACUCUACGCCUUGUUAUCUGUGCCUAAGUGAACUAUCUAUGUCCUGGCUGGCUUUAAAGUCUUGAAUUUUAGGAGAACAAAGCUGUCUUUAAUAACUAGUUUGUUUCCAUAGAGGGAAAAAAAAGUCCAAAGUCCUCCAUUAAUUUUCAUUGUUACAUUAAAACUAGCUUUGCUCUGGUCUUCUCAUCUGUACUUCAUUAAGUCACAUUCUGUGGUAUAAUGUUGCAAGUUUUGGAAAUGCAGAGACAGUUCAAGAAAUUGAUUCUAUUUGUUCUUUCUGUUCAAUAGACCUUUGAUCUGAAAUGUUCAAUGGUGCCUGGCUGUUCCACGCAAGCCACUUUUAAACCAUUGUUCGCAUUGUAAUAGCCUUGUUAUCAGGUUGUGUGAAUUAAUUCCAUCACAUUAAGAGGAGGAAGUUAGAUUCACACAGCACAGACUAAUAGCUGUCUCCUGUUACUGGCCAAUUGAUUGGGUAACCAGACGACACACCACGUUUAUAACAAUUCGGUUGUUUUGCAAGGUGGUCUUAAUUUCAGAGUUUCAUAAUGACAAUAAUAAAUUUCGAUUUCCCCAGGACACCUUGCCUAAUAGGCUUUGAGAAUUUAACAAUGUAUACUGAAAAAUAUCACAAUGGACUAAACCACCACUCUUGGUAAAAAUCCCUGAAUCAAAAACAAAACAAUGAAUAAAUCCUUCUGUUUGGUGAAAAACCCACAUAUAAACAAAAACAGAAGCCACCCACAAACUCAAGGGCCACAUCUCUUGGGCAGGAGUCAUCUCAGGAGAAAUACUGAGUUCCUCCAGGCAGCUCCUGUCAUAUAUUGGGCACUGAGCAGCUGUUGAUUUCUUUUCAAAAGGAGAGAAGGUUGGGGGCAUAGAGUAGGCUACUCGAUCCAUCACUGAACUGUUGCUCCAAGAAACAAUAUUGAUUGGCCAAAAUGGGACACACAUUAUGAAUGCCUACAUCACAUUGUUCAUCCUGGCAAUUGUUAGGUGGAGUUAAAAAACAAUCUGAAAGAUGAAAUUAAAAAAACAAAAACUUUUCAAAUCAUCAUUUAAACAAAAUUAUCAUUUGAUGAGACAGAUUUAUUUCUCCUCUUAGUUCAGUUUGUAAAUAUGAAAUCAGGCCAGUUUACUUAUUUAAUUACUCCUACUUAUUUCACAAGAUCAAGAGAACACAUUUUCCUGAAAGCUAACUUCUUGCUCUUGAGAUAUCCAACUACAGACAGAUGACAAUGAAAUAUCCAACUACAGACAGAUGACAAAGUCCCUGCUGAUAACCAUUUACAUAAGAUUCCUUCUGGAGGUGUUACGGUUGCCUGGGUCAGAUCCAUUACUCUGAUGAUACAUCAACAUACUUGUGACAUCCACCUUGGAUGCUAAUGCUUGCCUCUGGGAUGACUGACCAGCCCUCUAACCAUACUGCUUACUUAUUAGUCUGCUUUCCCAGUGCUGAGUCAUUACCCAUCUUGGCAUGACAACUUAUUUCCUGCCCUCUAAAUCAGCAUGCACCCAUCCUUUAUGAAUCCUUCUACAAUUUGCUUAUGGCUAAGGUGAACUUUUCUCAGUUCUGGACUUGUGUAGUUUGUCUGACCUUAUAGUUAUUGGAAGGAAAAUUACAUUAGACAAUUUAGGCAGAAUGUCUGUUCUACUGAGAGCAUCCAAGAAACGCCCAGUUGUACAUUUGGAAAGUCCUUUUUCACAUAGUCUUUACAGCUAUGCUGGAAAUCUCUCCCAUGCAUUUUAUAUCAUGAAUACUGCUCAGAGCCAACUUUCCACACCUAUCCCUUGUUUUCAAGGUGGGAAUUAAGCAGGGUGUGGUGGCAUACACCUUUUAUUCACAACAUUCAGGAGGAAAAGGCAGGAAGAUAUCUGAGGGUUCAAGGGCAAACUUGUCUACAAAGCAAGUUUCAGGACAGGGCUGGUACACGAAGAAAUCCAGGCUUUGAACCACACCCUAACCUCCCCCCUUAGUCCCCCAAAUCUUAAGGCCCAUGGAGAUGAAAAUAAGGAAAGUGUUUACAGAAUGCUUGGGCCCCUUGUGGUGCUCUAGGCAUCUCUCUAUAAAUCUAGAUUUUUUAAAACCACAGAAGGAGUCUCGCUACUACCAAACUUUAUUUUAAAAGCAAUUAAUUUAACACUGCCUCUAAAUGCUCUAUGCAUUUAGUACAAACAAACCUACUUUUGGUUUAUCAUUCAGCAUUUUCUGCACUCCUUUCAUAGGCCCAUGAGUCAUUGUUAUUUAUUGUUCUAAUUACAUUUUGUAUCUUUGGUAGCUAAGGCCAUAGUUACUACUUUACUUGAUGGUCCUUUAAUGCUUGAAUGUCUAUCUUUCGUGGCGAUUCUUUGCAUUGUGUUUACUCCCUUACUGUAUCAUCUUAGCAUUCUUCUGGCUUGGAUGCUGCAUAGCUCAUAGUGUUCUUCACAGUUUCUUCCUUUCUCUUGCUGUUGUUCUUGAGAGAAUACCAUGUGUACUGCAUGAUACAGGUAUGGAUGCCUCACCUGUCAGUUAAAGAGCCUAUGGCUUAUGGCCUAGGAAAUAAUAGGAAAAGGAUACUGGGAGAAAGCCAGGCAGGAGAUUCCCCAGGGAAUAUGUGACAAGAUGGAUGCAUGGUACCUGAGCACAGGAAACCAGCCAGGUGGCAGAAUGGGGGCUAGAAUAAAUUGGGAUAUUUUAAGUUUUAUCUAGUCAGGGAAGAGCCUCGCUAUAUGGUAUCUGUAAAUAUAUUUUGAGGCUGAGUCUUGUUUCUGGGAGCAUGGGGCUAGGAGGAAGAGUUAGGACUUCAACAUGUUGUGGUUGUAGUUUUUGUUUUGAUCCAGGACUUUACUGGAUCCAUGCCUUUCAACCUCCUGAACUUUUCUUCCCUUCCAGUGUGUCCAGGGAACCUACAUAUGGAAGUGCAUUCUUCCCUUGCCAUUUGGUCUGCAAAUAGAGGUGACCAUAGGAGUUGGAUUUCCAUUUGUUGUUCACCUCUCCAUAAGAAAACACGACCAGUUUCAUUAGGUAUCAUUUUCUUACAGAGGCUGGCAGACAGGAUUGUUUAUGUUUGAGACAGAAAUAUGAAAUGGCUAGAAUAAAGUACUCACACACCAUAUUCCAGUCCAAAGUACACCGUCCACACCUCUGUAUUCACUGUAUCAAGUCUUAUAUUCCACAGGGAUGUGCUGUCUACUUGAUUAUUUGGACAGUUAGGACUUUUUAAAUCUUAAACUAUUCAUCUGUGAAAAGGUUUUCAAAAACCUCAUAGUAUGAUUUGUCUUACCAUCCAACAUGUCAUAUGCAGACCUUGAAAGAGUCCAUAUGGAACUAAGCAGUACAAUAAGGAUUCCUUUCUAGGUCCAGAGGAAAAUGGAACACAAAUUUUCACUUUAAACACCCAGCCUUUGAGUUCUGCUCUUGUUUUUCUGUCAUGAGAGCUUCUUAAGGGAGUUUUUUUUUCUGUUUAUGUUGAUCCAUGUUGUUUGAGAAAAAAUUAUUUUAAGGAAAGUAUUAAUUGGUUUUCUAUCCUCUCUGGAAAUUUAAGGGCCAGAUUUAUGUGUCUCUAGCAUCUCAUAAAGAAUGUGUUCAUCUCAGAAUGAUUAUGUGGUUUACAGAAACAGAUCUGAAAGGCCAUCAGAAUACACUCACUUGGGCUGGGGAUUCAGCUUGCUUAGAUGUACAAGGUCCUGGGUACAGUCUCUAAUGAUAACUAUGAUGACAUGGAAGUGUUUCUGAAAACAUGCACUUGUUAUUAAUUAAAACAUUGUCUUGUGUACAUAUAGAAGGAUUGUGCCAAGAUCAAACAUUUUCAGAGUGGUUUGCUUCCUCAGAAAAUCCUCAAGACCAUUAAGCUUUCUUCCUAAUUGCCAUCCUGGGGAUCAGCUCAUCUUACUUGGGGAUGCACAUUGGCAAUAUCUAGACCAGGUAGUACACAGGGACCUGCCAGGUUUUGGCAGAUCCCUCUUGGAAAUGAAGAGAGCCUUCUCAAGAAGGUCUGCUGCAGGCAUGGCUCACUGGGAGGAAUCAUUUACCUGGCUGCUCCACACACUAAAAAGAAAGGGAGAUCCUGGGGUUCAGAGGGAAGAGGACUGUCUUUUCCCAGAGUCUUCAGCUCAGGCAUGGCUCUGCCCACAAGGAGAAAAGACCCAGGUUUUGAGUAGGUAGCUGGUUGGUUGAACCGUGCUUUUCCCCUGACUCCUGGCACCGGGUCCCUCAGGUGGAGAUUCUGAAACAAUGCAUAUACUACUGUUUUAAAAAUGCUUAUUAUGCUUUAGAUGGACUACUAUGGUAAUUUCAAAGUAUAUGAAAUUUUCUUACAGAUUUUUUUUUAAAGUAAAAUUUAUUGUUUUGAUGCCAGAAUCCACUAUGAAUUUCACAAUCUCUUUUUGAGUUAUCAGGGUUUUGUCGUCUGUGGGCAGCCACACUGAAACGGUUGUCUCCUUGCUAUUGUUGUUUUGUUCCUCUGUCUAUAGUUUACAUAGGGUGGAUUACAACAAGGCAGAUUCAAGCUAUGUAAUGGGUACUGUUUCUAGUAAAAUAGCAUAGAAUUCAGAGUGUACUUAUUCAAGUGAAAAUUCUGUCACUUUCUAAGUCACUUAAUCAGGACACUUUAAUUUCUACCACUGCUGAAUUCAGAUCAUAAUAUCUGCCCCCUAUCUACCUCUCUGGGAGGCUGGGAGGAUUAAUUAGAUAAAGCACUUAAAUCUCCUCAUAGAGACGGGGGACAUAUAAAGGAUGUUAUUAUUUCUAGGAGAGAAUGAAGUGGUGUCUUUUUUUUAUGGACAGUCCACCCUUCUGGGUUUUUUCCUCUUCAUUCAACUGAAGUGCCAAUUUGGUGGGUUUUAAUUUAUCCUGUGAAACCCUUCUCAUCUUCAAGUAGUUGUGCUUAGAGAAAAGAUCUUCGAGUACUUCCUCUGAUGACGGGAAUUGCAUGUGAGUCCUGAAUUUCCUGAAUGGUACAGUGUUUUUGCCCUGCUCCUAUGUGAUUAUAGCAUUUGUCAAGAAACAAGCCAUGCCUACAUUAAAGACUAUGAUCUGUCCCAGAUAUUGAGGUUAGUCUCAGUCCCAAAUUCUGCCAAGAAGUACAACAGCAAAUCUUAGUCAGCUUAAGAGUUAAUUUCUAGGUGCUGGGUGUCUCUGUCCAAGUUAAGUCCUGCUUUGAAUGCACCACAUUGUUCAAGCUGACCUCCCCAUCUUUAAACAAGAGGCAUGAAGGCUUUCCACUUGCUGAAAACUGAAAUGCUCUGUGUUAGAUCAUCUAAGCAAUAAGAAGAUGAGAAAAUGGGAGCACAGUCUUUACUCACUCUGCCCUAGAGCUUGACAGGUCCUUUAUUUGUAAACUGCCUUCAAGCAAUAGUUUUUUUUUUGUUUUUUUUUUUACAUAUUUUGAUCACAGAGCCUUCUGAUAUUCUCCUAGAAUUCUCACUGUUAGUUACAGAGUUAAAAUAUAUUCAUUUUUUUCAGAGCUUUAGUGGGAUUUAUUUUUCAGCCAUUUUAUUGGACUUUACCUGGCUCUUGCAUGUAUGGGUUUUAGUUGUAGAGUUUGGUUAGAAAAGCAUUUGUGUUUUGGUAACUGUAACUGAUGCUUAAAGCCCAGAGUUGUGCCUUCUGUCCAGUGCCAUGGAAGCCCUUACAGUUGGUGAUGGGUGUACUUUGUUUCAGAAGGAAGUGAGACUGCAUCCACCAGAGAGUUUGGGAAGUAGCCACAGUCAGGGACAUCAUGGGGUAUGAGAUUAUUCCCAGUACUUCAGACUGGCCUGAAGUGACCUCACAUUUCACCCAUCCUAGAAAUGAAGUCAAUCUGUAAAUCUUCACAAGUUAAAAAUCAAAGACUCCUUUGAAAGCUGAAAUGGGGCUAUUGAGAUUGUCUGAAUCUGGUUUUCAUAUUAAUAGGCUCACUUUAAAAAGCUAAGAUUUCUUAUUUUCCUUAUAAUUCUCAUACUAAAGGGAAAAGGAGAGACGUGGCUUUCCUAACAGACUAAUGCCAGACUUGCUUGGGCAACCCCCAGCCAUGAUUGUGGAGACUUGGGAGAAGAAGAACAGACAGAGAGGAGUGCAUCGGGACAGGAAAAGGGGACUUAGAGUUAACUCAUCAGCAAGUCUGUCUGUCACAUGUAGAAACAAGGAAGAGGUAAAAGUUCUCUUAGGACUUGCCACCCACUGACUCAGGCCAUGCUUCGAAUGCCACACUGCCAGCAUAAACAUUAUACCCUUGGUAGAAGAUACAACAGUAGGUAGGCAGAUGGACACGCACUUGGAGAAGGGAGAAAUAAUUUAUUUUUUUCCUUAGCGAUCACAUAGCUUUUCAUAGUAUUGGCAUCUUUAUAUACUAACCCCACCAAAGUAAUAGCUGUAUAUGAUGCUUUCUUUUGAAACAUUCACAGCCAAGAGAGACACCAACAUUACGAUAAAAUAACCUGAGUUUUAAGGUUUUAAUCAAGGAUUUAAUGAGUUUUAAAGUUUUAAGGAGAGAGAGUGUUGGUCUUGAAGUGGCAGUAUAUUCUUAACAACUGCAUCCCCUCCUACUGCAGGCCCAUCAAUCAGAUAAGGUAAAAUUUAGAAUAGCAGUCACCUCAUUGGAUAUCAUGCUUUUGGUUAUACACAAAGAGAUGGUACCUUAGUUAGAGUCUUACUGUUGUGAACAGACACCAUAACCAAGGAAAUUUUUAUAUGGACAACAUUUAAUUGGGACUGGCUUACAGGUUCACAGGCUCAGUCUGUUAUCAAGGUGGGAGCAUGGCACCAUUCAUGCUGGCAUGGUGCAGGAGUAACUGAGAGUUCUAUAUUUUCAUCUAAAAGCCACUAAGAGACUGGCUCCCACAGUGACACUCUUCCUCCAACAAGACUACACCGACUCCAACAAGGCCAUGCCUACUAGUAAUGGCACUCCCUAGGCCAAGUAUAUUUAAACCACAACAUAUGGAAAUCACAAAACUAUUCUCUCUCUCUCUCUCUGACACACACACACACACACACACACACUAGAAAGUUACAAAUAUAUUUCAAAAUGAAAGAAAAAAUAUUAGAGCCAGUUAGAUAGUUAUGCUUAAGUUAGGUGUGUUUUAGUUACAUUUAUGAAUUUAACCCCAUAACAUCUCUUGUGUCAUACCUAAGACCACUAGUUAUCUGACCAAGACAAUUCUACUGGUUAGUUUUUAAUUAUCAACUUGGUAGAGCCUGGAGUCACCUGGACACAGGGAAGCUCAAUUGCAGAAUUGUCCAAAUCAAUUUGGCUUAUGGCUAUGUCAGUGAGAGAUUGUCUUGAUUGAUGAUUGGUUCAGGAGAGUCCAGCCUACAAUGAAUAACACUCCAAUCUUAGGAAGUGAGGUCAGACAAUGUAAGAAAGCUAGAUGAGCAUGAGAUGAGCUAGAGAAGGAGCCAGUAAGCGUCAUUCUUCCAUGGUUUCUUCUCUGGUUCUGUCCUUCUCUGGCUCCCAUCGCUUUACCUCAGAGAUGGAUCAUGACCUAGAAGUAUAAGAUGAAAUAAGGCCUUUCCUCCCCCAAGUUAAUUUUUUUUUUUAUUGCUGCAACAAGCAACAGAAAACAAAUUAGAAGAGCCAUAGAGUUAGUAACUGGUUAAAGUCAGGCUUAAAAUGAAGGCAGAUGAUCUUGCAAGAAUAAUAACCAUAUCACUAGCCUAUCUUACACUAGAAUGAUAGAGGUCUGGUGUUUGAUAAAGUGAAGCUCUAAGCAGCAAAGCAAAAUUCAAGAGCAUCAGAAAUCAAGACACUAGUGGGAAAAGGUAUAACACUGUUAAGAUUCUUUUGUGUUAAAAAAAAUAUUGGCUUAAAAAUGGAGAUAUGUGCACAAGGAUUUAAUGCAUCUAGACUUCGGCAGUUGAAUGGAUAGAAGAUGUGCUUAGCGGCAGCUCUUUCACAGUUCAUAUGGACCUGUGGGGCACAGGUCUGAGAACUCAACUUCUUCACAUGAAGAAGCAGAUUCUCCUGCACUGGCCAAGUGGGAAAGGUGGUGCCUAACUGUGGUAACAAGGCGGCCAGUAGUCGACAUAUACUGAGAUCCUUUACAAAAAAAGUAGCUGCUCAGCAAACACCACAGACACCCCUAGCAGUCAGCGAUGAGCUGAGAAUAUGCUCCUUUCCAUUUUUAAAAAUCCCACUAUUGAGAUAAAGAGAAGAGAAAAACUUCUCACUUUAUUCCUUUUUUUAUGCUUUUUGAUUGCUGAACUAUGCAAAAGUGUUACCUAGCCAAAAAUAUUUUUAAGUCUUCUAUGAAUCCAGUAUUCAUAAGCUUAUGUAACUUCUUCACUCCCAAACUAAAGGAACUUGUUAUACAUGCAAUCCAAUAAGGUUACCAUCUAGUAGAUAAAAGAGUUUAUUCUUUCAGCAGGUUUUACUUUUAGGAACUUUCUUGAGAGUUAGCUCUUACAAUUGUUCCUAGCCCUUCCACACUGAGAAAUGAAAUUGUAGGUAUUUUAUUGUUUAGGAUUUAUAUAAAUUUUGAUAUCAUCAAAACAAUGUACAGACUCUAAUCUAUACAACUAGGGAAGACUCCCAAAUGCUUUGAUAUACUGAUAUAAAACUGUCGAGGUAUAAUAGAGGUUAUCCAUGCUCAAGCCACAUACUUACCUAUUAUUUUCUGUCAUUAUUUAGUGUAUAUUAAUUUCCUCAUUUCAACCCAAGACAACGAACCUCGGGCAGUUUCAACAACCUUCCAGAUUUCACAUAGGUGAAAUCACGUUGGCGGAAACCAUAUUUGGACCUUGGUCAAUCUUCAAAGCUGUCCUCUUUCUACCCAGGCAAUCUGUUGCAAAGUCCUCUCUAUGCCUGGUUCUGUGUCCCUAUUUACAAUGCCACCUGUGCUGCCCCCUGCCGGUUUCUGCUGGCAUUGCAUGGUAAUCAGCCCAUACACCAUCCAGAGGAAACAAUCAGUUCCUGUUGGAGCAUAUCAUUUAGGUGUAUUGAUUCCAAAUUUGUAAUUGCUUCCCAUGAAAGCUAAGCAUAGAGUAUAAAUUGCCACUCACCACAUAAAGUUGAUGACUUUCUAUGCCCAAAUGAUUUGACAAUUUGUGAUUUCUCCCCCAGGAGGUUUCUUUUGCUAGCAUUUUUCAAGGCAAAAUAUCCAAUCCCUGUCUAAAAUGAUCAAAUUUUGCCCUGAAGCAAACUUGUAAAUUUUUUUUGCAAAGACUCGUGAAACUUCACAAGGCAAGAGAUCAAUAAUUUCACACUGUUCCAUUCUCACCGUACUCCUCAGUAUACAAACUGCCAACGCAAAAAAAAAGUUAAGAUUCAAGUGGCGAGUGGGAACUCUCCCCCAGCCUUUUAAAAAUAAAGCAGUAUCUUUAAAAUAGAUGUGAUCAAUUUGUAUUCAAAAGUUUUAGGAAAAGCAAAAAUAAAAUAAAAUAAAACUGAGCUCAGAAAUUUAGUUACUUUUACAUAAACAGCAGACAUGUGUCUCAGUCCUUGUACCAGCCUAUCACAUGUUCUGCUCUCCCCAGAGUACUUUUGAGUUUUUUUGACUGUGUGUCUGUUGUUGUAACUUUUGUUAUAAGCCAGGAUUCAGACAAGUGGCAAAAUAGCAUGUGCACUGCAGCCACAUCGAGGCACUAGAAAGGCUGCUGCUCCUGCUUAGCAGUACCCAAGUUAAAUCUUAGCUAAUAUGAGCCAAUACUAAGACAAGCUCUAUCAUCUUCUCUCGGAUGCUCAGUCUUCUUUAUCUUGGUGCAUCCAAGUCGUUAAUGUUUCCUUGUGAUUAGCUCUUAGUCUUUUAUUCUUCUUGCAGAGUUCUAUCCGAGAACUCAUUUCAUUCUAUGGCUUUGACUAUGCCUUCAGCAUAGAGAAUGCCCAUAUUCUCUUGCCAAUCAUACCCCUUCAUCUGACCGUCUGUUAUUUAUUUUGUCGCUGUUUACUGGCAAUUUGUGCUCUUUGAUAAUUGACUCCUCUUCAUGUUAAACUCGCCAAGGUAAUCCCAAGCCAUGUCUUUCUUCUGAACUUUUAUUUUUUUUUAUUUUAUUUUAUUUUUUUUUUAUAAAAUAAGCAUGCAUUCAAAUACACAGUGCUUGAAACCUUGGAUCAUAGGGUAAGUAUAUAACAAGAGCUGGGAGUUAGCAUAGAAGAACAUUUGGAACCAGGCAUAUCUGCAUGGCCUGGGAGCUUUGCCCCAAGUCACUAAUGGUCAUGAGAGAGAAAAGCAGGCAGAGUUUUGUCAAACAGAAACGGAGUAUAAUUUUGUGGUGAAAUAUAUGUCUAUUUAACUGCCACCAACCAUUGAACUCUUCUGAAGCAACAGAGGAUCUGUAAUGAGAAUUCCUUCAGUCUGACAGUGACUUUAAUGCAGGAACUGACCUAAGGCAACUAGAAAAAUAUAUAAGUUAAAAAUAAAAAUAGCUUCUGAUGUCAUAUAGCAAUCUUGUGAAGGAUGUACAAAGACAGAUGCAUAUAAAAUUAAGCACAUGUAAGUGGCAUAAAAUUUACUUACAAAAAGUUGAAAAGUUUAAUUUUCUCAACUAAUAUUGUGUUUAGAAAUAAAAUUCCCAAAUUCUAAACACAAUAUUAGUUGAGAAAAUUAAAGAGCUUUGAGAACAUAACUAAUUAAAUAUUGUUUUCAAUGUACCCUAAAAGUAUUUUUUUCAAAUAAAAGAAACAUAUCAAAACCUGAUUAAGAUUUUGACCCUUAAAUAUUCAAAGUAUGAGGUCAAAAAUCCAUUUUAGCUUUAAGGUGGAAAAGUCAGAAUAUUGAACUUUUUUGUUUAUUCUGGCUGCAGAAAUUAGUUUUUACAUUUUGCUAUUUACCUUACUUACUUGAGGUAGCUAAUUGGUUUGAACAUAAAUACCUAAACACUGAAAGAGAAGACUAUAUUGAUAAAACAUUACAGCAUCAUGGCUACUGAAUUCUGUCAGGAGUGCUGUGGACCUACAUGCAUUUACUUUCUGAAUUACAUGUCGAAUAUUUUGUGGGAAUGCAUAUUUCUUUAAAUUGAGUAACUAAAUUCAUGUUAAUAUAGUAUCGGUUUAUUGAAGUUCAGAUUUCAGCUCAGGCAAUACAGAACAGUGUGGAGCUAGAUUUAGAGUGAGAUCUACAUAUUCCAUACAGAUGGAAUCAGUCCAUGAAUGCAUGUUGGUAUCAUCCCUGCCAGUCCUAAUAAAACUCUAUCUUUGAUGUGUUUGAACAAGACGUACGUUACACAUGAAAACUGAAACAUCAACCAUUAUAUACCCUUUAAGUGUAAAUGAAAUAAUUUUACAUCCACACAAUAUUUUUAAAUGUUGACUUUAGCAAAAACUUAAAAAUCCUCUGCAAUUUGAAAUGAAAAUUCAUGAUGCACAAAAUUAUGAAGGAAAACAAUGUCUACUCCAAAUAACCCAUAACUUUUUUGAAUAAAAUUUCAGUGUUAUGAUUUAAUCUUUCUCAUUUACGCUUUCUCAGUGCAUUUGAAUUCAUAGUGUUUUCAUAUGCAGUAUAACAUUUAAUCUGCCCAAUACCCUUUGUGAAAAGUGGCAACAUUACAUGCUUAAUGGUGAAAGAAGUCCCAUGGAAAUGAAUGGCUGUCUUCCUCAUCACAAACAGGACCAAUUGCAAACCAAAUGCUGGAGGUCAGAUGCUCUCCAUUCCAGUCCAGGAAUCUUUUAAGUAGACCUUAAUGAUGCUCUGUCAAGUCCUGAGAAAAUCUUCAUCCCUGUCUUAUUUACGUGCAAAGGAUACAUGAUAGAGAUACAGAUAUGACAAAUUUUUCAUUUGCCUUUGUUGACUUUUCUUUAUCUAAGCAUAGCUUAAUCAGAAUGCAAAAUCUGCUUGUAUUUGUUGCCUGAUGAGUACAGACAUGUGUGUAUACAUGAAAUAAGUGCUUAAAGGAUAAAAAUGUUGUUCUUUCUUUGAUUUUUUUAUUACAUAAAGAUGGUUAUGAGUUUUAGAAAAAAAAUGGGGACAACAAAAGGAAAUCUCAAAAGCCAAGCAGACAUCAAAGUCUACAGGGAGAUGACUUGAUCUAAAUGGCUUAUUUACUUUCUUGCUCCCUUUUACUUUGACUAAUGGUAGCAACUGACUCCACUCCCGAAUCACGUGAAACUCAUGUUCUUUCACUAACCUGUACCCCUUACGCCAGUGACCUGAGUGUUUUGACGUGCAAUAGUAAAAGAACAAGUGUAUACUAUGUAUAAUUUUAGACAUAACCCACCUGGCAUCAGUCUGCAUCAUUGGUGGUUGCCUAGUCACGUAUGAUUCUAUAGACAUUUUUUAAACCUAAUGUUACUAUAUAAAUUAUCUAGUGACAAUAAGUCAGUUACUAAGAAGUCACUAGGAAGGCAGUCUGCUUUUGAAGUCAAUAAAACACAGGCAGAAAUCUGUUACAGUAACUUAUGUCCGGACUUUCAUUCUCUAACUUGUGUGAACUUGAAAUCAUGUUUUGGGACACAAGCCUCUCUCUAAAAAUGACUAGCAUCCCAAGAUGUGUCUUGAAAGUUCAUUACCAAAACAGUAGAAAAAUAGGAGAGAUUCUAACAGGCUUCUCGUCUCUAUGUGACUACCCAGUAGCAGUGUUCAACAGAAUUUGUUGACCUUCGAGUCUGUACCUUCUGUGACAGGUAGAGGACACAUUCCAAUCAAGUGACUUUCUGGUUUUUAUAAGCAAGAAGUUGUAUCAAAUGUUUUAACUUGAAAACAGAAGUGCUUGUUUCUAGUUUUCCCUGCUGCGUCUUGAGCUCACACACCCUUGCACACAGUGUGAAGGCUCUUUGCAUUUGAUGAGAGGCACGAAGAACCAGGCACAGUGCGAUCCACAUGGGAAAAGGUGCCACAUGAUUCAGUUAUGCAUCAGUCACCCUCAGAUGGUGACAGAAGGUGUCAUUCUAGGCAACAGGUCACUGAGAGAGUGCCACUUUUAUGUAUGCACACUCAGUUGUAUCUUGUGCACAUUCCACACCUCCUAAUACAGACUGAACAUGUUUCCUCUGGAAUCACGUACACAAUAUGCAGAAUGGCUAUGCAGGAAGAUUCCAUGGCAACCGCACAUGCAGAGCUUGGUGAUUUUAUUUGAAAAGAAAAUAAGUUUACCUUUACCCAGCUAUAACUUUUUAAAAAGACACUAUUCUUUAGAUAUAUUUGAUUCAAACUUGAAAACUAGUGCUGCACAAUUUCUUGAGCAGUAUCUUAUCUUUGGGGCUUUCUGAAUAACCUAUAGGCUAUUCAUUCUUCCCCUUAGAAGCCUUGGAGGUAUUUUUCUGUGCUGUGUACAUUUUCAUCCAAAGGAAUAUUUUCUUCUCAUUCCCUUACAUACCUUGGGACAUUUUCCUCCCACUGCACCUUAGAGGACUGUUUAAGACCCUACCCACUCCAUCUUCUCUUACUUUCACCUGAAGGGCAAAAUCCCUAAGAUCUUGACACAAAUACUGAUAAAUACAUGGAAUUAUUAAAGGUGCCAUCUCAGCAGAAGAGGAUGGCUGCUGCCUUUGUUCUCGGGGGAAUACAUAUUUCACCCAGUAGCAAGACACCCAACUGUGGCUACAAUCAGAAACCUCUGAAAUGCCUUUAAGCUAAUCAUCUUUGAACAUAAGCCUUUGUUGUUGUGUGAGGGAUCGUCUAGAUUCAAGGCACAAACGUCUGUUUUAUUCUUAUUUCUUUCCACCUUGAGUGAAGCGGCAUCAAGCUUGUCCCCACUGAUGGUGAGUGAAGUGCAGGGAUCUGUCAGCAUUCACCCUGGAUGAAGACAGUUUGAGAAACCCAAAGCUCUGUAGAGAGGGCUCAGGAGAGAGCCAAACAGAGUGUUUGCAAAAGAACAUUUUAUAUGUUUUCUUGUGACAGCACUAGUUUAACAGAAAAUAGUUGGAGUGUGCCAAAAAGGGGGAAAAAUGAAAGACACUAGUAGUAAGUUAGGCUUGCAUGACAUGAUGGAUCUGGGCUAUGACAAACCGAAUUGGAACAAAGCUUCCCUGGGGAGCAACUAUACCAGGUUUGCUGAAUUGUAUUUCUUGAUUUCUUACUGUGCAACAGUGCUUUUUACUGUUAGAUUGACUAGGCUUCAGAAUAUUUUUAAAAUUGUACAAAUCAAAAUCCAUGUAGCUUAAAAAUGAAGGAUGUAAAAGGUUUAGGAGUUUGAUGUAUUGAAAGGCAUUCUGUAUUCCCUCAUGUGAGUAUUAAAUAUACACUUUGUCUGUUUGAUGAAUUUCAAAUCUUUGUGGGAGGCAGUACACAAGAAAGCAGUUUAUGAGGCUAGAAACCCUGGUUGGAAAGGGCACAGGCUGCAGCUCAUCAAAGCUCCUUUCUUCUGAUGCCACCCAAUUAUGCCCAGGCAUUGCAGCAGCCUAUGUGUGUAGAUUCAUGCCUGUUCUAAGAUAGACAUAUGACCCAUUUGUUUUUUUAAUCUAGUGUCCUCCUAACACAGGGGCAUCAUUUUUACUGCCUAUCGUACCUAUGGUCACUCAGUGAUCCAUACACCACAAUGGGAAAUCAAAUGAAUAAUAAUAUAAAGGAGGGAAUAAAAAUUAUCUCGUAUUCAGUAAACUUGGCUUGUUUUCAUUUUCCACAUGACACCAAAUAUCUCAACAAUCUGAUUGUAUAAAUCAUAUAAAUUGUCAUUAUAAGAAAUUUGAACAGAAGGCUAAAGAGACAGAUUCUACUACAUUCUCAGAUAACUUUCAGGUAUUGGAGUUACAGGCAUAAAGAUUUAGUGUUCCUCUCAUCAAGGAGGAAUGAAUUUGAAUAAUUAACAGCAUCACGAUACUGUAAUAUAAGUGCUGAUUGACAGACAAGCUCAGAGCAGAUGAAGGUGGCAAGUCAGCUCAGCCACAGCUUCAUGACUUUCCCUGAUGCUAUGGCUGAGGUAUAAUGGAGGGGAAAGAAGAUGGUGAUAGGAGAGUGACUGAGGUUUAGGAAAAGAAGUUGACACACUAAGGACUAAGAGAUAAACAGUACAGCUACAUUCAGAAGUAUUAAAGUGUAAAACACACACUGAAAUGCUGAUGGUAAUGCAAAGGAAUAAAGCAGAUUAAUUAAUGAAAAAUAGGAAGUAAUAAUAUUCACCACUGGAAUUUCCCUGUGUGUAAAAAAAUCAGAAACUGCUAGACUUCUAUAGCACACUGAAACAUGCAAAAUGUGAGGCAAUGUUACAAGUUCUUUUAGACUUUCAAGAGAUACCUGUAAUCUGGAUCCUCUCAUGAAAUCCCUUGAUUUUACAUACAUAAAAGCUGAAGAGUUCUGUUUCAGCCCAUGCUCCUUGCCAUCUUCCUUCUUCUCCAGGAUACAGUAAGUAAUGUGUAAUUAUAAAGAUACGGUGUAGAGAAGUCUUUGAAUCUGAGUAUACAGAAAGUGUACCCUUUCUGGGUAAUCAUAAGAUUCAGACAAUCUGACUUGAAGAUACCUGAGUUAGACUGAAACUUCAAUAGGUAUUUAAAAGUGGGAGAAACAGCUUAUCAGAAAGGCGAUUCAAGUAUACGGGUGCUAGCCCGUAAAGAGGCAAAGAAUGUAGGUAUUGGCAAGAAGUAAGGUUUGUCUGAAAGUCUUGGUUGGAAGAAUGAGGAAGCAGAGAGGAUAUUAGAAGGAUGCAGGAGAUGAUAAAUGAGAGGAUAAAAUCUGAGAAUUCUCUUGUGGCUUGAAAGGAACAUUGGCUGGACUACCCUGUCGCAUGUAAUUUUUAAAACACUCUUGCUCUUUGCCUGGUGCCACGGUCCGCACUCUGACCUCUCCUGGUUCCCUUACCUCCAACUAGAUCAUAACCAUCCUACAACCAGGGAAAUCUGGGAGGAGCUGCUGUCUGCACUCCACCGGCCCCUUUCACCUACCUUGCCAAGCCUCCAUCAACUGCCCAGACUGCUCUCUGUCUCCUUUUGCCCACCUUAGCUCCGUGGAUGGAAAACACUAUAUAGUUUUAUUAUUUUAAAACUAGCCAGAUAACUCAAAGGCUGGGUGAAGAAUCUCCUGUCCUAAUCUUCUUAGCUAACAGCUAGCUCCUGAAGACCAACCUAGGUGCCCCAAGACCUUCCAUGGUUGUUUGUGCCUCUCCUUCCAAAGCCUGACUGGCAGCAAAGAACUCCUAACUUCCUGUGCCUUCUCUUCCUCUUAGGACCCGGAAGUCCCACCUUUCCUUUCCCCCAGCAAAUGGCUUUUUUGACACAAUCAAGAACCAAUUAGGGAAUCAUGCUUUGCCAUCAGCUUCUCCUCUACACUACCCAAAGUCCAAUUACAGAAAAUGCUCACUAUUAAGCACAGACCAGCCUUGAACCAUUUUCUGUUGCCCAGGCUGGCCUGAAGGCCUCACCCUUGUGUAAGUACUCAGAUUAUAAGUCUGUAGCACAAUAUCCAUCUAUAAAUUUAGUUUUAAUUAAUAUGUAAUGUAUGAAAAUUGUGAUUUUUAAUAAUAGCUGUGAUUUUUAAUAAAUGCUGCUUCAGGAAGGUAAAUUAUUUUGCAUGGUAUCUUAUUAGGAUCUAACAGGUUCUAAAAGGACACAUCAGACUAUCCAGCAAGGGCCUUCUGUUCCCAUUUGACCUCUUUUGUUACCAGUACAAGUAGCACUGAGUGAGUUAUAUACUUAAUUGAGGCAUUCUGAUUUGAAUUUCAAUUUACUAGAUAUGACCUUUAUCCUUCCAGGUGUAUGCACUUUAUUUCCUUCAUUCCUUCUCACCACUUAGACUAGAAUUGAGACUAUCACACAAAAUAGUAAUGCUUAGCCUGGCAAUGGUGGUGCCAACCUUUAAUUCCAGCACUUGAGGUGUAGAAGCAGGCAAAUCUGAGAGUGAGGCCAAGCUAUUCUACAAAGUGAGUUCUAGAGAAAGGCUGUCUUAAGAAACCAAAACCCCAAGCCAAAACAAACAAGCAAACAAAUAAAUAAGCAAAUAAACAAAAAAUAACUAAUUGACAAUUAGUUCUCCUAUCUUUAAGUUUGUACCCAAACACUAGUCAAAUUUAACCAGUAAGUAAGGUUAGGUAGUCCCAACAUAGUGUGAAUUUUAUGAAUAAAAGUAUUUACAACUGUUUCUCCAAAACCCCUCUGACCCUUGGUAGUGUUUGCUGAAGGCUACACUGUUGCCACUCAAAAUCAAUGAUGAGUGGAAAUAGUAUUUGGUUUUUGUGCCUUAAAAAAGUAUCUUAUUAUUAUUUGAAUAGAGUAGCUUGUGCUUUUUACUGAUGGGUCAAUUUCAUCUGACAUUUGAGGUGAGUUUUAAUAUCUAACUCAUAAUGUAUGAUAUUAUAAAAUGAAAAUAUUAAGGUAAUUUUAAGAAAUUUCAUAAGGUAGUUCUAUUGACUUUUAAAGUUCAAUUAUUUAUCAAUAUAAGUUCAUAUACAAUACAAGACAAUGCCAAUAUUCCUCAAUUAUUCUGAUCCAUUUACACCUUAAACUAAGAAAAUAAUAGGCAUGCCACUCUAAUCUUCAUUUGCUCUUGAUUUGUAUUCUCUUUGGUUUAGCUUUAUUUAUGUGUAAAUAUGCAUAGUUCAAAACUUGUUAGUAGCAACACUAAUAAUGUCAUUUAUAUACUUCACCUUGUCCAUUUUAAAUGGAUUGUUCUAUUUAUAGAGUAACAGCCUGUAAAAUUAAAUUAAAAAAUUUUAAUAGAAAAGGCAGUCCCUUUAAAAUUAUUAUGAUGGAAGGAAGGGUAAUUUUUUCAUAAAUCAUUUCCAAAGCAACUUUAUAAAAACUCUUCUUCUUAACUCUAAAACUUUAAAAUAGUCAUUGAUUUUUUUAAAAAAUAACUAUUUAUGCAAAAUAAUUUAUGACAGAUUUUGUAGUACUUGAAAAUGUAUUCUUAUAAUAGGAAUUUUAUAAGACCAUUAAUUUUAGCAGUGCUAGGAAGCAUAAAUAUAAUUUAGGAGCUAUUUUCUUGAUUGUUUCUAGAAAUAUAUAUUGACCCCAUUAGUUUUAAGUGAUAAUAUUACUAAGCCAAAAUAUUAAUCCCACAGCACCAGAAUUGCUAGCUUUAACCAUUUUUUCUGUAAACCCUUUGUUACCAUAUGUGUUUCACUUAGCUUAUCAUACAUAAAUAUAAAUGUACAUUUUAAAUUAUCUUAGAAUUCAUUUUUUAAAAACUUACUUCGAAGUAACACCCUUACUAUUUUCCAGACUCUUUGGUAUGUGCUUGGGGGCAUGACAGGGUUAAUAUCCUUUUGGACACCAUUUAAUCAAUCAAGGUGGUGGCCCUAUACUUAGAAAAGCUUCAUGAUCCAAUAUUCAUUCACAGAGUUAUUUAUUCAUCAAGUAAAGCUCUCGGGGAGAGGAAGCAGUCAUUUUCACAGGAAGGACAAAUAAUCUUAUUGGCUCUUUAUUAAGUGUCUGAUAUAGUCCCAAAGUUUUAAAAGUGAUUAAGGUACUUCAUUCUCACAACAAAGGGAAUUAUUUGAAAUAUUUUAAGAAGUUUCUUAGCUAGUUUUGCUACUGUUACAUAUGAAUAUGCAACAUGAGCAUAUCAUAUAUAUUCAUAUUUUGAGGCUUAUGAAUGUUUAGAUGCCCAUUUGAUACAGGCUAGGCAAAAACAUAUCCAUUUUGUACAACUAAGAAUUUAUGUUAUAUAUAUUUUGACAGAGAGUACAAUAUUAAUGAUUUCAAAACUUUAAACCAUGGCUUUGUUAAUUCAGUGUGCACUUGAUGAAAGGCAGAGGCUUAGCCAUUUUCAGAUUAUGGGACUUAAGGCUGGAUGUUCUAGAAAUGAAGUAUAAAUAGCAUUUCUGUUCAAAACAUUAAGUACUAAAAAGAUAAUUUGAUAAUUCUUCAUUUAUAUUCAAAUUUAAGUUUUGAUGUUAUAGUGAUGGAUACUUAACGUAAAGCUCUAAGUAACAUAUUUUUGUUGUUGCCUAUUCAGUUUGAAAAAUAUAUACUUAAAAACAGAGGUAAGAGAAAAAUAAGUAAUCUGUUCAGAUUAAUAUGCAAAAGAACAUAUUUAAUACAAAUUCAUGAAACCUCUGAAAACUUCACUCCAUUGUAAUUUGCUAAACCAUUUUUCUCUAAAGUACCUCACAAGUUUUCUUUUUUGAUCAAUUAUCACCUAUCCCAAUUUUUCCUGUUGUAACAACUGAAUCUUCUUUAACACAUAUCCUAAAGAUCCUAAGACAACCUUUACAAUGGUCAAGGCCCCAUGAUCCCAACACUUAAACAUGUGAAUGAGGUGAACACACUAUUUUCGAGAAUAACAUAAUUUUAUAGGAAUAAGUGCUCCAAUUGGAAAAAUAUUAGUGUAUGAACUUCUUGGUGCUUCUGAAACUGAGUUAUUUUAUAGAUCAAUAUUUAGCUUUUGGUAAGAUGUAUACAUUUCUCUUCUGUUUCAUAGUGGAUAGUAUAUUAACCAGAAUGACACUGGUUGCUAUAACAAAUCAAUGAAAAAAGUAAGUAAUCGCACAAACAGGACAGAAUUUUACCCACUCAUGUGAACACCAGCAUGAAACUAACUGAUUGUUGAGCUUAUUUUUUUGUUGACUGUACAUCAGAAAACUAGAAAUUUAUCUUUAGAUAGAGCAAGCAUCUUCAUCAUAUAUCUCUUGGGUCACUAUGCUUAUCUACAUCAGUCUGGUCAAAGCACAAUGCACAGUAACAUCAUUGGAUUGGCGUGGCACUCAUUACUUCUGCUUAAGUUUGACUUUCAAGAACUCAUUCUUAGAAAGCAAUAGCAGAUGAAGGAGAAAGGCAUUUUUCCAGUGCUCAGCAGCUCCCUAGCAAAUGGAUCAUAGACUGUGGAAUAUAUCAACAAAGUAGAUAGUUGUUGGGUAUUUUUUCAAAGAAUUCUAAGCUUAAAAAAUAACAGUGAUAAACUAGGAAGACCCUGAACCGGGUAAGAAUUGGAAGGUUCAGUUCUCUACCAUGCAGCCUGAGUUUCUGGUCCUUGAUCUGCUACUUUUCAGCCUACAACCAUACUCUGCUUUCAAACAGAAAAUAUCUACUUGGAGAGAGCCCAAAGGAAAUCUUAAUUGAAAACUGAGCUAAUGAAAAUUAAUUUAAUCACAAUAAAAGAAUAACCAAUAAAUCUCGGCCAUAUACUAGAUAUACUAGCUUAGUUAAUAGUUACUGUAAUGCUCAAGACAACUUUAUAUCUAUAAAUGGGGAAAUGAGGUGCAGGCUGAGCAAAUACUCAGCAUCAUGAAGUAAAAAUGCAUUGAUUUCUAAUUCAUCUUUAGAGGUCUAUCAUACUAUCUUAUGCCUCAUAAAAGACAGAAAAUGAUGUUUGAAAAGAAAGAAGGCAACAGUUUCUUCCUGAAUGAAAGAAAUAUGUUACUUGGUUUAAGUUACACAGUGUGUACAUAUGUGUGAUUUAUCCCUAUCCAUGAAGAGCACAUACAGUCUACUUCUCUUCCCUGUAGGGCACUUUCCACCCUCUGAGACCUGUAGGGCAGGUCUCAGAGAGGAACAAACUUAAGAGAUCAGUGUUCUCUAAGAAUACAGACUCUGCCGUGAGGUAGAAAGUAAUUUAACCUAGUUAGAAAUGAGAAUAUAAAUUAAAAGACAAAAGACAGGAUUUGAGAUCAGGCUAUGAGUAGUACACAUGAGGUGUCAUGGAGUUGAUGAAGGUUGUGAGACUUAGUAUAAAUGGAUGGGAACUUGGGAGAAGGGAACUUACAGAGUCUUACAGGGAAGGGUGGGAGAAGUCAGGAUUACAGUAGAUAAAGACAGGAUCUGUCAUCUAUGCUGGUGAUAGCAGGCAAAUCUUGGAAUUGGUAAGAGUUACAUCAUUAUACAUCUUACUUUAGAACCUAUUUUCGCAUAUAUUUUUAAUUCUAUGUAACCAUCUGGUAGGGUCUGGCACUUCAUGAUUUAUUGCAAUAUUAGUGUUUAUCUGCAGAACUAGUCUUGUAGUUACAGGAAAUGGAUGCAGGGCUCUGGGAACAAAGUUUGAGGAGGAAUUUCCAAACAAAUGCUACUUUUCUAAAGCUCAAAAGUAUAUUUCAUCAUUUUUACCAUUCCAUACAAGCCUCUACCCUUCCCUGCAACUACCUAUUUUUUAGAACAAUUGACCAUCCUUAGGGCUUACAUCACUUCUUGUCGGUGGUCACUCUUGUAAAGAAUACCUCACCAUUGUUUUCAAACCAAGGAAAAAGAUCCUGAAGGAAAAGAAGAGCGUUUUCAAUUCUCUAAAGAGCCACCUCUGACACUGACAGUUCUUUCUCAAUCUCAAAGCACUUCUAGUGACACUGCUGCUGUUUUUUAACUUUAUAUUGUUGCUGCAGACAUCAUAAAUUGGCAAGGAGUGGUCCAGGGGAAUGCUGCAAGGACAUGUCUUGCUUUCAGAUCCAUCUGACACCUGAAUUCACAAGACAGAAAACAGCUUUCUUAGUGGGUAGUGCAGAAGGUGAAUGAUUAUUGAGAGGUGGCUUUUCAAUGUCAUAGCACCACUGAAUCCAACAUGCUUUCUGCACUCCUGCCCCAAGACUCUCAGUGUAAGCAGAAGCAGUUUGGGCUAUACAGUCUUCUAGAAGCCUUAGGAUGAAGAGCUAUGCUUUAGUGAAAACCCAUAUAAAUCUCAAAGACUUUUAAUCUAUAUGUUGGCAGUCUCAGCGUCUUGAUUUUAAUGGAAUAUUCAUUUUGCACUUAUGUUAUAUCCUGGUUUUUCCUCUUCUUGAAUAAUUACAUCAAAUAAUUACAUCAAAAAGUGAGUGUUCAAAGUGAAAAAGAAAAAGUUAUAUUUAAUUCUCUUCCAGAGGAGUCUUUAGGAAGAGGAAACAAACAAGCCUGCCUAAAUCAAAUUGUUGUUAUGGUUAUUUUAAUAGCAAUAAUGUUGACAGGUGAUAAUAGCAAAUGAGAGAACUUAAUCCAAGUAUUACUAGGGGAGCUCCAACAAGUGUACAGAGUACAGAAUUGAGCAAUGAUUGAGUUGCUGGCCAACUCAGAUGCUCUCAUACCAUGGAGAGUGCUUCGAAUUGGAGCAGUCCUCUAGAGUCUAUAGUGCUAUAUAGGCUGCUGUAUUUCUUUAGCAGCUGUAGUGUACAUCCCUAUGAAUUGCUAGGUUGGUCUUCUGUCUCUGCUCUCUCACAUGGAAUGCCUCACUCUUUAAAUCAAGAGACUAAACUCCGUAGAAUAUCAAAUUAUAAAUUUUUUUUAUGUAGCCUCCUUUGACUAUGUCAAAAUAUAGAAUGUCAUUUAACCUUAGUCCUAGUUUACUAGGAAUAACUGUCAUUUAUACCUUACCCAUUGUUUAGGCCAUCCCUCCACAUUUUUACUUUGUAUGCUGCCUAGAUUUAUGCAGAGUUAUCAGAGAGGAAGAAGCCUCAAUUGAGAAAAUAACUCCUUAAGAUCAGGCUGUUGGCAAGCCAGUAGGGCAUUUUUUUUGAGUUAGUGAUAUAUGGGAGAGGGCUUAGCCCAUUAUGGGUGGUAUUGCCCCUGGGCUGCUGGUCUUGGGUUCUGCUAAAAAGCAGACUGAGUAAGCCAUGCUGACUAGCCAGUAAGCUGCACUGCUGCAUAGCCUUUCCAUCAGCCCCUUUUCCUGCCCUUUUUGAGUUCCUGUCCUGACUCCUUUGAUGAUGAUUUGUCAUGUGGAAGCACAAGCUGAAUAAACCCUUUCUUCCCCAACUUGCUU